CGAAAGCCUGACGGAGCAAGACCGCGUGAGGGAGGAAGGCUCUUGGGUUGUAAACCUCUUUUCUCAGGGAAGAAGCUCUGACGGUACCUGAGGAAUCAGCCUCGGCUAACUCCGUGCCAGCAGCCGCGGUAAUACGGAGGAGGCAAGCGUUAUCCGGAAUUAUUGGGCGUAAAGCGUCCGCAGGUGGCGAUUCAAGUCUGCUGUCAAAGCACGGGGCUUAACUCCGUUAAGGCAGUGGAAACUGAAUAGCUAGAGUGCCGUAGGGGUAGAGGGAAUUCCCGGUGUAGCGGUGAAAUGCGUAGAGAUCGGGAAGAACAUCGGUGGCGAAAGCGCUCUACUGGACGGCAACUGACACUCAGGGACGAAAGCUAGGGGAGCGAAUGGGAUUAGAUACCCCAGUAGUC
rnacentral:rRNA from 1 species